rnacentral:SRP_RNA from 1 species
GCUGGGCACGGUGGCUCAUGCCUGUAAUCCCAGAACUUUGGGAGGCUGAGGCGGGAGGAUCACCUGAGGUCAGGAGUUUGAGACCAGCCUGGCCAACACGGUGAAACCCUGUCUCUU